ACUCCCAGGAAGAGUUAAACAAUCUUCUGAUUGUUGAUAAAAUUCAUUUUGAAAAGCUCACUGUUCUUUUUCCAAGUUGACACAGUGGAAGAUGAGAAGGAAAAGUGACUUGACCAUUUUGGCAUGUCUGGACAGGAGUAGCCUGGAAGAUUUGAGAAGUUGCUCUUGGUUCACAGAUUUCCUAUUAUAGCCAUGCCUCUUCCCUUUCAAAGGACUGUGGGACACCAUGGAAGAUUUGAGAAGUUGCCCAUCAUUCACAAAUUUUCCGUUAGGACUAUCCCUCUUUGUUUUGAACAGGGUUUUAGGAUUCUUCCCAGCAAGAACUGAGCAGUCUUCCUCCUGUGAACAAAUUUUCAUUUUGAAAAGC